rnacentral:lncRNA from 1 species
CCCAAAUCUUACUUCCCUCCAGGAAGAAUUUUAUUUAUUUUUUUGCUAAACCUCCCUACUUUUCAGCAAAAUGUAAAACAUAGCCAGCCUGGAUCCGCCAGCCCUCUGGCUCUACACUGGAAGAUAGGAAGAACAGAGCGAGGAGUUCUGAGCUUUGGUGUUGCUUUUUCUCUGAUCCUGGGCAAAGAACGUUCCUUCUUUAGACUUGAUGUCCUCAUCUGAGAGAUGAGUGGUCAGACUGCUUGACUUCCGCUCAGCUGAGACUCCAAGAGCAGAACCAAGAAACAGGCAGAUCUCUGCUUUCUGAAUGCUGGUAACAACCGUCAGACUUCAGGAAGCCGUGUGUGAAUCCAACACGGAAAAGCAAAAGGAAACCCGGUGCCUUAUGAGAAGGUUUGAAAGUGCUUCCCAUCCGGUCCCCAUGAGUUCUGCAGGAGAUGACGGAACAGAAAGUCAAGGAGACCUCUGUUCACGAAGCAGCUAGUGAAGGGAAGGAGGCGUGGAAGGGGGACUGUGUCUGUGUGAGCAGCUUCCCCCCGUGGGUGGCUGUUGUGCGUCACUCUUCUAGCCCGGCAGAGGUGGCAGCGUGGUGGAGCGGG